rnacentral:rRNA from 1 species
AGAGUUUGAUCCUGGCUCAGAACGAAAGCAGGCGGCGUGCUUAACACAUGCAAGUCGAGUGCGCGCCUGUAGCAAUACAGGUGGCGCACGGCGCACGGGUGCGUAACACGUGGGUACCUGCCCUUUGAUGGGGAAUAACCCCGCGAAAGCGGGGCUAAUACCGCAUAAGAUCCGCAAGGAUGAAAGCCGAAAGGCGUCGAAGGAGGGGCCUGCGCCCGAUUAGCUAGUUGGUAGGGUAAUGGCCUACCAAGGCUAUGAUCGGUAGCUGGUCUGAGAGGAUGGCCAGCCACACUGGAACUGAGACACGGUCCAGACUCCUACGGGAGGCAGCAGUGGGGAAUCUUGCACAAUGGGCGAAAGCCUGAUGCAGCGACGCCGCGUGGGGGAUGAAGCAUCUCGGUGUGUAAACCCCUUUCGACCCGGAAGAAUGCCUCGCAAGAGGACUGACGGUACGGGUAUAAGAAGCCCCGGCUAACUACGUGCCAGCAGCCGCGGUAAGACGUAGGGGGCCAGCGUUGUUCGGAAUUACUGGGUGUAAAGGGUUCGUAUGCGGUGCGGCAAGUUGGGAGUGAAAUCUCUGGGCUCAACCCAGAGGCUGCUUUCCAAAACUGCUGUGCUUGAGUGUGGGAGAGGCGCGUGGUAAUUGCAGGUGUAGCGGUGAAAUGCGUAGAUAUCUGCAGGAACACCCGUGGCGAAAGCGGCGCGCUGGACCACUACUGACGCUGAGGAACGAAAGCUAAGGGGAGCAAACAGGAUUAAGAUACCCUGGUAUUCCUAUCCCUUAACGUUCAGGACUGGGGGGCCCCCGUUCUGGUGUCGUCCGGAACUUAACCGUAA